CUGCCUUAGGCAGGGGUAGUUGUUAGCAUGGGUGCUGAGCUGGGCUGCAUGCGUGCUGCAAACACUGCAAUAAGCCUCUGUAAGUGAGGAAAGUAAGACAAAGAUCAGGUGAACUGUCCAAAUCACACAGACAUUUACCCUGGCGCAGGCAAACUCUGAACACUUUUGACCUUGGUCCUACCCACAAGUGAUGCAGCAGCUUCUCCUACAAAGAACAAGUUACGUCUCCCUCGACUUGAGAAGAAUCUGUUGAAUUGGGAGAACUUAUUUUUAAAGCCAAGUAAUAAGUUUGUCAAUCACUUCUUUAUUAUCA